GUGGCCGCGACACCAUCACCGCAUAUUCUGUGGAAGAUAAUGAGUUGUGGCUGCGGCAUUUGGUGGGAAUGCUCAUUCAUAGUGGCCUUGCUUUCUAUGCACUGCUUGUUGCUUUCCCCGCCUCUGACAUAACAAGCUCGAUUAUGUCCUGUCCCUCACUGUGGAGAACUUCCUCGAGCGUCGCCUCCAAACUUUAGUGUUCAAGGCUGGCAUGGCCAAGUCUAUUCACCAUGCUAGAGUGCUGAUCAGGCAAAGACACAUUAGGGUUGGGAGACAGGUUGUGAAUGUUCCAUCUUUCCUUGUGAGAGUUGAUUCCCAGAAGCACAUUGACUUCUCUCUCACAUUGCCGUCGAUCGCCGGAGAUCUGGAGAUCUGGAGUGCUUGAAAUGGCGGCGGCGGCUCCUGCAUCCUCAUCGGCUUCUCCUUCUCCUACGGCCUUUUUCUCACCGCCAGCUCCUCCUUCGUCGAUUACCUCUCCUUCACCGUUCGUCUCCGCGCCUCCGACUGCCGUGGCGCUCCGUUGACUUCAGUAAAUCCGGCAGGUCGUCUUGUUAUUUGGAUUUUGUGAUGUGAAGCACGCAUAGUUUUUUUGAUUUUCUUUUCCUCUCUUGCUAGUCCCACCACCAAAAUUACCAAGAGAAAGAGAGAGAUAGGUGUUGGGCAGCCUGAUGGCUUUAAUUAUGGAUGCUAUUGUUCUAACCCUUCGUUUUCUGCUACUGUAGUAAUCUAAGGUGAAAGAAUAAGAGAUAGUCCAUUUAGGAAAAUUCAAUGCUGCAGUUGGAACAAUUUAUCUUCACUUAGGCUUGUGCGGAAAUGUAUUUUUAUGCGCAACUGAAUUUGUGAUUUUUAUUGGAGAGAUUUGAUUGAUUAAAGAAAAA